UUUGAGUUUGAUCCUGGCUCAGAUUGAACGCUGGCGGCAGGCCUAACACAUGCAAGUCGAACGGUAGCACAGAGAGCUUGCUCUUGGGUGACGAGUGGCGGACGGGUGAGUAAUGUCUGGGAAACUGCCCGAUGGAGGGGGAUAACUACUGGAAACGGUAGCUAAUACCGCAUAACGUCGCAAGACCAAAGUGGGGGACCUUCGGGCCUCACACCAUCGGAUGUGCCCAGAUGGGAUUAGCUAGUUGGUGAGGUAAUGGCUCACCAAGGCGACGAUCCCUAGCUGGUCUGAGAGGAUGACCAGCCACACUGGAACUGAGACACGGUCCAGACUCCUACGGGAGGCAGCAGUGGGGAAUAUUGCACAAUGGGCGCAAGCCUGAUGCAGCCAUGCCGCGUGUAUGAAGAAGGCCUUCGGGUUGUAAAGUACUUUCAGCGAGGAGGAAGGCAUUAAGGUUAAUAACCUUAGUGAUUGACGUUACUCGCAGAAGAAGCACCGGCUAACUCCGUGCCAGCAGCCGCGGUAAUACGGAGGGUGCAAGCGUUAAUCGGAAUUACUGGGCGUAAAGCGCACGCAGGCGGUCUGUCAAGUCGGAUGUGAAAUCCCCGGGCUCAACCUGGGAACUGCAUUCGAAACUGGCAGGCUAGAGUCUUGUAGAGGGGGGUAGAAUUCCAGGUGUAGCGGUGAAAUGCGUAGAGAUCUGGAGGAAUACCGGUGGCGAAGGCGGCCCCCUGGACAAAGACUGACGCUCAGGUGCGAAAGCGUGGGGAGCAAACAGGAUUAGAUACCCUGGUAGUCCACGCCGUAAACGAUGUCUAUUUGGAGGUUGUUCCCUUGAGGAGUGGCUUCCGGAGCUAACGCGUUAAAUAGACCGCCUGGGGAGUACGGCCGCAAGGUUAAAACUCAAAUGAAUUGACGGGGGCCCGCACAAGCGGUGGAGCAUGUGGUUUAAUUCAAUGCAACGCGAAAAACCUUACCUACUCUUGACAUCCAGAGAAUUUAGUAGAGAUGCUUUGGUGCCUUCGGGAACUCUGAGACAGGUGCUGCAUGGCUGUCGUCAGCUCGUGUUGUGAAAUGUUGGGUUAAGUCCCGCAACGAGCGCAACCCUUAUCCUUUGUUGCCAGCGGUUCGGCCGGGAACUCAAAGGAGACUGCCAGUGAUAAACUGGGAGGAAGGUGGGGAUGACGUCAAAGUCAUCAUGGCCCUUACGAGUAGGGCUACACACGUGCUACAAUGGAAUAUACAAAGAGAAGCGACCUCGCGAGAGCAAGCGGACCUCAUAAAGUAUGUCGGUAGUCCGGAUUGGGAGUCUGCAACUCGACUCCAUGAAAGUCGGGAAUCGCUAGUUAAUCGUAAAUCAGAAUGGCUACGGUGGAAUACGUUCC
rnacentral:rRNA from 1 species